rnacentral:rRNA from 1 species
GACGAACGCUGGCGGCGUGCUUAACACAUGCAAGUCGAACGGAAAGGCCCUGCUUUUGUGGGGUGCUCGAGUGGCGAACGGGUGAGUAACACGUGAGUAACCUGCCCUUGACUUUGGGAUAACUUCAGGAAACUGGGGCUAAUACCGGAUAGGAGCUCCUGCUGCAUGGUGGGGGUUGGAAAGUUUCGGCGGUUGGGGAUGGACUCGCGGCUUAUCAGCUUGUUGGUGGGGUAGUGGCUUACCAAGGCUUUGACGGGUAGCCGGCCUGAGAGGGUGACCGGGCACAUUGGGACGGAGAUGCGGGCGAGGGGGCUGCGGGAGGCGGGGGUGGGGAAUAUUGCACAAUGGGCGGAAGCCUGAUGCAGCAACGCCGCGUGCGGGAUGACGGCCUUCGGGUUGUAAACCGCUUUCGCCUGUGACGAAGCGUGAGUGACGGUAAUGGGUAAAGAAGCACCGGCUAACUACGUG